UUAAGCUAUAAAGAGCGCACGGAGGAUGCCUGGGCACCAGGAGCCGAUGAAGGACGCGGCGAACGGCGAUAUUGCCUCGGGGAGCUGUAAGCAAGCAUCGAUCCGGGGAUGUCCGAAUGGGGAAACCCGGCCGGGGUAAUGCCCGGUCACCCUGCAGUGAAUCCAUAGCUGCAGCGGAGGCACACCAGGGGAACUGAAACAUCUCAGUACCCUGAGGAAGAGAAAACAACCGUGAUUCCGUCAGUAGCGGCGAGCGAACGCGGAGGAGCCCAAACCGGAGGGCUUGCCCUCCGGGGUUGUAGGACGUCUCACAUGGAGUGACAAAGGCGCUGGUUAGGCGAACAGGUCUGGAAAGGCCGGCCAUAGGAGGUAAAAGCCCUGUAGCCGAAAGCGAGCGCCCUCCGAGACGGAUCCUGAGUACCGCGGGGCACGUGAAACCCCGUGGGAAGCAGGCAGGACCAUCUGCCAAGGCUAAAUACUCCCUGGUGACCGAUAGUGAAGCAGUACCGUGAGGGAAAGGUGAAAAGCACCGCGGGAGCGGAGUGAAAGAGAACCUGAAACCGUGCGCUUACAAGAAGUCAGAGCCCUAUGACGCUUUCCUUCGGAAACGUCACGGGUGAUGGCGUGCCUUUUGUAGAAUGAACCGGCGAGUUGCGUUUGCGUGCAAGGUUAAGGCGGGGAGCCGAAGCCGGAGCGAAAGCGAGUCUGAACAGGGCGCAAUAGUACGCAGGCGCAGACCCGAAACCGGGUGAUCUACCCCUGUCCAGGGUGAAGGUUCGGUAACACGGACUGGAGGCCCGAACCCACGAGCGUUGAAAAGCUCGGGGAUGAGGUGGGGGUAGCGGAGAAAUUCCAAUCGAACCCGGAAAUAGCUGGUUCUCCCCGAAAUAGCUUUAGGGCUAGCCUCGGGAAUGAGAGUAGCGGAGGUAGAGCACUGAUAGGGUGCGGGGCCCGCCAAGGGUUACCAAGUCUUGUCAAACUCCGAAUGCCGCAUACUUGCUUCCCGGGAGUCAGACCAUGAGUGCUAAGAUCCGUGGUCAAGAGGGAAACAGCCCAGACCAUCAGCCAAGGCCCCCAAGUGCGUGUUGAGUGGGAAAGGAUGUGGAGUUGCAAAGACAACCAGGAUGUUGGCUUAGAAGCAGCCAUCAUUCAAAGAGUGCGUAAUAGCUCACUGGUCGAGUGACUCUGCGCCGAAAAUGUAACGGGGCUAAACACGCCGCCGAAGCUAUGGGCCCGCACUGCAUACGCAGUGCUCGCGGUAGGGGAGCGUCGGGUACGCGUCGAAGUCAGACCGGAAGGACUGGUGGAGCGUACUCGAGUGAGAAUGCCGGUAUGAGUAACGAAAAGAUGGGUGAGAAUCCCAUCCGCCGAAAGCCUAAGGUUUCCUGAGGAAGGUUCGUCCGCUCAGGGUCAGUCGGGACCUAAGGCGAGGCCGAAAGGCGUAGUCGAAGGACAACAGGUUGAUAUUCCUGUACCACCGUAAGCCGUUAUGAGCGACGGGGUGACGCAGAAGGACAGUGACGCGGACUGAUGGAAUAGUCCGUCCAAGCAGCGAGGCUGGCGUGCAGGCAAAUCCGCACGCCGUGAAGGCUGAGCUGUGACGGGGAGGGAAACUUAUAGUACCGAAGGUCAUGGGUUCUGGCUGCCGAGAAAAGCCUCUAGCCAGGCGAAGGUGCCCGUACCGCAAACCGACACAGGCAGGCAAGCAGAGCAUGCUGAGGCGCGCGGAAGAACUCUCGUUAAGGAACUCGGCAAAAUGACCCCGUAACUUCGGGAGAAGGGGUGCCCCGGUAGGGUGAAUAGCCCGAGGGGGCCGCAGUGAAAAGGCCCAAGCGACUGUUUAGCAAAAACACAGGUCUGUGCGAAGCCGCAAGGCGAAGUAUACGGGCUGACGCCUGCCCGGUGCUGGAAGGUUAAGGGGAGCGGUCAGGGGUAAGCCGAAGCUGUGAACCGAAGCCCCAGUAAACGGCGGCCGUAACUAUAACGGUCCUAAGGUAGCGAAAUUCCUUGUCGGGUAAAUUCC
rnacentral:rRNA from 1 species